rnacentral:rRNA from 1 species
AUUGAACGCUGGCGGCAGGCCUAGCACAUGCAAGUCGAACGGUAACAGGAAGCAGCUUGCUGCUUUGCUGACGAGUGGCGGACGGGUGAGUAAUGUCUGGGAAACUGCCUGAUGGAGGGGGAUAACUACUGGAAACGGUAGCUAAUACCGCAUAACGUCGCAAGACCAAAGAGGGGGACCUUCGGGCCUCUUGCCAUCGGAUGUGCCCAGAUGGGAUUAGCUAGUAGGUGGGGUAACGGCUCACCUAGGCGACGAUCCCUAGCUGGUCUGAGAGGAUGACCAGCCACACUGGAACUGAGACACGGUCCAGACUCCUACGGGAGGCAGCAGUGGGGAAUAUUGCACAAUGGGCGCAAGCCUGAUGCAGCCAUGCCGCGUGUAUGAAGAAGGCCUUCGGGUUGUAAAGUACUUUCAGCGGGGAGGAAGGGAGUAAAGUUAAUACCUUUGCUCAUUGACGUUACCCGCAGAAGAAGCACCGGCUAACUCCGUG